rnacentral:lncRNA from 1 species
GAUUUUGCUUUGAAACUGAGAUUUGACAAGAACCCUAACUCACAAAUCUCGAAGAAGAUAAGAAAUGAGAAAAUGGAACACAGAUCGUUUGUUUCUCAAACCGAUUCAGACAAUAGAAGAACAAUCGCGGUUCUUGGGCUUGGAGCAGUUCAGCCCAACAACCUUGAUAAAACAGUAAAUUGGCCCAGUCCACAAGCAGCCUUCUUCCUCACUUUAUAGAAGGAGAAGUAUUGUUUUGUUUCUGGAAAUGCAAUCAGAACAGUAAGAGCAGACAAGAACAAUAAGAACAGACACAACAUCAGAUUUAACGUGGUUCCAUCAAAUCAACUUGAGUUUGUCGUCAAAUUUCGCUCAAAGGUUUCCUACAGAGAGUUUGAAAGUUGUUUUAAUUAAUGCUAUUCAAGGAUUACAAUUUACAGAAUUAAUAAACCCUGAUGCUCCUUGCAGCGUUCCUAGCUCCUCGCUACGUUAUCCAAUACUCGCUAGCUCCCUGCUAACUUGUAUCUUUUCUAGUAUUUCCUCAAUUUAAGAUCUCUAUUUCAUUAGAGGCUAUUAGUGCCUUAUUUAUAGAAAUCCGAUUGCCACGAGAUAAACUUGAC